GGAGCCAGGCUGGCGGGAAGGCUGCACUCUACAUUUCAGAUAUUUUUUGUUGCCUCGAUGAAAUAACAUUACCAGAAUCAACUUUCAGAGUUUGUUUGGUUCAUGGUUCCAGAGGGAUAAGAGUCUAUCUUGAGACAAGGUGUGACAGAGACAUCAGGAGCAGGAAGAUGAGAGCGAUCACAUUUCAUCCACAGAAAGUAUCUGAAAGGGACAAGGCCGUAAACUUUCAAUGCCUGACCCCAAUGGCAUAUUUAUACCACCUCCUGUUGGGGAAGUCCUGUGUAUAUGUCAAUAAAUUACUGCUGGCCAAUAGGAAUCUAGAUAGGUGGGGCUAGGAGUCCAGGAGGAUUCUGGGAAGGAGAAAGACAAGAGAGUCAACAUGUGACGCCAUGGGGGUAGGACGCCGGGAACUAUUCUCCGCACCCUGCCGGGUCCCCUCAGAAUCUGCACCCCGGACAGCUUGGAAAUGGCUACCCCGAGGUGGUCCAACCUCACAGACAGCUUCAACUGGACCUGGACUUUCCUAGCCGUAGGCUCCGCAGAGCCUGGACAGUGAGUGAAACAGUCUUCUAUCCCAGGACUUGGCCGGCGCCCCAGCUUUCUCGGGUCCCCCAAAGAUGCUGACAACAGAGACAACAGGAAGCAGCCUAGAGAACACGGCACCCCCUUUCCCGCCUGGCCAGCUACCCGUUCCUCUUUCCUCAUGUUUUCAUAACAAACGAGAGGAUGGAAUGUUAGCGUCCCAUUAGGCAGCAGCCUGCCCGACUGCCAAAGCAAUUAAAGUCGCUUCACCACCUGU